rnacentral:rRNA from 1 species
UACGUAGGUGGCAAGCGUUGUUCGGAAUUACUGGGCGUAAAGCGCGCGUAGGCGGCUCUUCAAGUCAGGCGUGAAAGCCCCGGGCUUAACUCGGGAACUGCGCUUGAUACUGUCGAGCUAGAGUGUGGAAGGGGCGAUUGGAAUUCCGUGUGUAGCGGUGAAAUGCGUAGAUAUACGGAGGAACACCAGGGGCGAAGGCGGAUCGCUGGGUCAACACUGACGCUGAUGUGCGAAAGCUAGGGGAGCAAACGGG